rnacentral:rRNA from 1 species
GAUGAACGCUGGCGGCGUGCUUAACACAUGCCAGUCGAACGAAGCAUUUAGGACAGAUUACUUCGGUUUGAAGUUCUUUAUGACUGAGUGGCGGACGGGUGAGUAACGCGUGGGUAACCUGCCUUGUACUGGGGGAUAGCAGCUGGAAACGGCUGGUAAUACCGCAUAAGCGCACAAUGUUGCAUGACAUGGUGUGAAAAACUCCGGUGGUAUAAGAUGGACCCGCGUCGGAUUAGCUAGUUGGUGAGAUAACAGCCCACCAAGGCGACGAUCAGUAGCCGAGCUGAGAGGGUGACCGGCCACAUUGGGACUGAGACGCGGCCCAGACUCCUACGGGAGGCAGCAGUGGGGAAUAUUGCACAAUGGAGGAAAUUAUGAUGCUGCGACGCCGCGUGAGUGAUGAAGUAAUUCGUGAUGUAAAGCGCUAUCAGCAGGGAAGAUAGUGACGGUACCUGAUCAAGAAGCUCCGGCUAAAUACGUG